UACUGGCUUUGUAAAGUCAACCAUUUGUUGUUUUGCAUGAGCGCGCGCCUGUUUGGUCGCUUUUUAAAGCGGUGAUAACGCGUUUUAAGCGUGGCCUGAUGCGCGCAGAUCCACAUAAACAGCACAUAUAUAAAGCGGUGGCAACAAUGACCCCUGUGUGUCUCUGCCUCUCAGUUUUCUCCCUCUCUUCCUCUCUUUGCUCUCUUUGUCUCCAGCUCAGGUGAAUUGUAGCCAUGUGAUCAAACGCCCAAGCCUCUAUCCAUUAACCCUCGUAAAUGAAAAAAAAAAAGAAAAAAAGAAAAGAGGGAACAAAAAGCAGUUUUGUGCUUGCAAACAUGGAAAAAAAAUGAUAACAGAGAGCGAUGUGUGCGUCUUUCUCUCCCCUUAUGUCUGAGACACAAGUGGCCCAGACAGAAAGUGGUCUGCGGCGGGCACAGGACGCACGGAGCGCGUUGGGUUCCUUCGAGUCUGAAAAAGUUUCACCUGGAUGUUCGGGGCCUCGGAGGUGCUGAUGGGGGAAAGUCCUAAA